GAAAAAGAACCUGAAACCGUGUACGUACAAGCAGUGGGAGCACAGGUUUACCUGUGUGACUGCGUACCUUUUGUAUAAUGGGUCAGCGACUUAUAUUCUGUAGCAAGGUUAACCGAAUAGGGGAGCCGGAGGGAAACCGAGUCUUAAUUGGGCGUUAAGUUGCAGGGUAUAGACCCGAAACCCGGUGAUCUAGCCAUGGGCAGGUUGAAGGUUGGGUAACACUAACUGGAGGACCGAACCGACUAAUGUUGAAAAAUUAGCGGAUGACCUGUGGCUGGGGGUGAAAGGCCAAUCAAACCGGGAGAUAGCUGGUUCUCCCCGAAAGCUAUUUAGGUAGCGCCUCGUGAAUUCAUCUCCGGGGGUAGAGCACUGUUUCGGCUAGGGGGCCAUCCCGGCUUACCAACCCGAUGCAAACUGCGAAUACCGGAGAAUGUUAUCACGGGAGACACACGGCGGGUGCUAACGUCCGUCGUGAAGAGGGAAACAACCCAGACCGCCAGCUAAGGUCCCAAAGUCAUGGUUAAGUGGGAAACGAUGUGGGAAGGCCCAGACAGCCAGGAUGUUGGCUUAGAAGCAGCCAUCAUUUAAAGAAAGCGUAAUAGCUCACUGGUCGAGUCGGCCUGCGCGGAAGAUGUAACGGGGCUAAACCAUGCACCGAAGCUGCGGCAGCGACGCUUAUGCGUUGUUGGGUAGGGGAGCGUUCUGUAAGCCUGCGAAGGUGGCCUGUGAGGGUUGCUGGAGGUAUCAGAAGUGCGAAUGCUGACAUAAGUAACGAUAAAGCGGGUGAAAAGCCCGCUCGCCGGAAGACCAAGGGUUCCUGUCCAACGUUAAUCGGGGCAGGGUGAGUCGACCCCUAAGGCGAGGCCGAAAGGCGUAGUCGAUGGGAAACGGGUUAAUAUUCCCGUACUUGGUGUUACUGCGAAGGGGGGACGGAGAAGGCUAUGUUGGCCGGGCGACGGUUGUCCCGGUUUAAGCGUGUAGGUGUGUGUUCCAGGUAAAUCCGGUUCACUUUAACACUGAGGCGUGACGACGAGGCACUACGGUGCUGAAGCAACAAAUGCCCUGCUUCCAGGAAAAGCCUCUAAGCAUCAGGUAACAUCAAAUCGUACCCCAAACCGACACAGGUGGUCAGGUAGAGAAUACCAAGGCGCUUGAGAGAACUCGGGUGAAGGAACUAGGCAAAAUGGUGCCGUAACUUCGGGAGAAGGCACGCUGACACGUAGGUGAAGUGAUUUACUCAUGGAGCUGAAGUCAGUCGAAGAUACCAGCUGGCUGCAACUGUUUAUUAAAAACACAGCACUGUGCAAACACGAAAGUGGACGUAUACGGUGUGACGCCUGCCCGGUGCCGGAAGGUUAAUUGAUGGGGUCAGCGCAAGCGAAGCUCCUGAUCGAAGCCCCGGUAAACGGCGGCCGUAACUAUAACGGUCCUAAGGUAGCGAAAUUCCUUGUCGGGUAAGUUCCGACCUGCACGAAUGGCGUAAUGAUGGCCAGGCUGUCUCCACCCGAGACUCAGUGAAAUUGAACUCGCUGUGAAGAUGCAGUGUACCCGCGGCAAGACGGAAAGACCCCGUGAACCUUUACUAUAGCUUGACACUGAACAUUGAGCCUUGAUGUGUAGGAUAGGUGGGAGGCUUUGAAGUGUGGACGCCAGUCUGCAUGGAGCCGACCUUGAAAUACCACCCUUUAAUGUUUGAUGUUCUAACGUGGACCCGUUACCCGGGUUGCGGACAGUGUCUGGUGGGUAGUUUGACUGGGGCGGUCUCCUCCUAAAGAGUAACGGAGGAGCACGAAGGUUGGCUAAUCCUGGUCGGACAUCAGGAGGUUAGUGCAAUGGCAUAAGCCAGCUUGACUGCGAGCGUGACGGCGCGAGCAGGUGCGAAAGCAGGUCAUAGUGAUCCGGUGGUUCUGAAUGGAAGGGCCAUCGCUCAACGGAUAAAAGGUACUCCGGGGAUAACAGGCUGAUACCGCCCAAGAGUUCAUAUCGACGGCGGUGUUUGGCACCUCGAUGUCGGCUCAUCACAUCCUGGGGCUGAAGUAGGUCCCAAGGGUAUGGCUGUUCGCCAUUUAAAGUGGUACGCGAGCUGGGUUUAGAACGUCGUGAGACAGUUCGGUCCCUAUCUGCCGUGGGCGCUGGAGAACUGAGGGGGGCUGCUCCUAGUACGAGAGGACCGGAGUGGACGCAUCACUGGUGUUCGGGUUGUCAUGCCAAUGGCACUGCCCGGUAGCUAAAUGCGGAAGAGAUAAGUGCUGAAAGCAUCUAAGCACGAAACUUGCCCCGAG
rnacentral:rRNA from 1 species